UCAAGGACGAACGCUGGCGGCGUGCUUAACACAUGCAAGUCGAGCGGAGAAUAUAGCAAUAUAUUCUUAGCGGCGGACGGGUGAGUAACGCGUGGGUAACCUGCCUUUUACUGGGGGAUAACACUGGGAAACUAGUGCUAAUACCGCAUAAAAUAGUGAAGUGGCAUCACUUUACUAUCAAAGGAGCAAUCCGGUAAAAGAUGGACCCGCGUCCGAUUAGCUAGUUGGAGGGGUAACGGCCCACCAAGGCGACGAUCGGUAGCCGAACUGAGAGGUUGAUCGGCCACAUUGGGACUGAGACACGGCCCAGACUCCUACGGGAGGCAGCAGUGGGGAAUAUUGCGCAAUGGGGGGAAACCCUGACGCAGCAACGCCGCGUGAAGGAUGAAGGUUUUCGGAUUGUAAACUUCUUUGAUUGGGGACGAUAAUGACGGUACCCAAAAAACAAGCCACGGCUAACUACGUGCCAGCAGCUGC
rnacentral:rRNA from 1 species